CCUACGGGUGGCAGCAGUGGGGAAUUUUGCGCAAUGGGGGCAACCCUGACGCAGCAACGCCGCGUGAGUGAUGAAGGCCUUCGGGUCGUAAAGCUCUGUCAGAGGGGAAGAAAUGCAGGUUGUGAACAACCAUUCUGUUUGACGGUACCCUCAAAGGAAGCACCGGCUAACUCCGUGCCAGCAGCCGCGGUAAUACGGAGGGUGCGAGCGUUGUUCGGAAUUAUUGGGCGUAAAGCGCGUGUAGGCGGUUUGUUAAGUCUGAUGUGAAAGCCCCGGGCUCAACCUGGGAAGUGCAUUGGAUACUGGCAGACUUGAGUACGGGAGAGGAGAGUGGAAUUCCCAGUGUAGGAGUGAAAUCCGUAGAUAUUGGGAGGAACACCGGUGGCGAAGGCGGCUCUCUGGACCGAUACUGACGCUGAGGGGCGAAAGCCUGGGGAGCGAACCGGAUUAGAUCCCCUUGUAGU
rnacentral:rRNA from 1 species